UACGUAGGGGGCAAGCGUUGUCCGGAUUUAUUGGGCGUAAAGAGCGUGUAGGCGGUCAGGUAGGUCGGUUGUGAAAACUGGAGGCUCAACCUUCAGAGGUCGACCGAAACCCCCUGGCUAGAGUCCGGGAGAGGAGAGUGGAAUUCCUGGUGUAGCGGUGAAAUGCGCAGAUAUCAGGAAGAACACCCGUGGCGAAAGCGGCUCUCUGGAACGGUACUGACGCUGAGACGCGAAAGCGUGGGGGAGCGAACAGG
rnacentral:rRNA from 1 species